rnacentral:tRNA from 1 species
GGAGGGAUGGCCGAGUGGUUGAAGGCGGCGGUCUUGAAAACCGUUGGCGGGGAAACCCGCUCCUGGGUUCGAAUCCCAGUCCCUCCGCCA